GACGAACGCUGGCGGCGCGCCUAACACAUGCCAGUCGAACGAGCGAGAGAGAGCUUGCUUUCUCGAGCGAGUGGCGAACGGGUGAGUAACGCGUGAGGAACCUGCCUCAAAGAGGGGGACAACAGUUGGAAACGACUGCUAAUACCGCAUAAGCCCACGACCCGGCAUCGGGUAGAGGGAAAAGGAGCAAUCCGCUUUGAGAUGGCCUCGCGUCCGAUUAGCUAGUUGGUGAGGUAACGGCCCACCAAGGCGACGAUCGGUAGCCGGACUGAGAGGUUGAACGGCCACAUUGGGACUGAGACACGGCCCAGACUCCUACGGGAGGCAGCAGUGGGGAAUAUUGCACAAUGGGGGAAACCCUGAUGCAGCGACGCCGCGUGGAGGAAGAAGGUCUUCGGAUUGUAAACUCCUGUUGUUGAGGAAGAUAAUGACGGUACUCAACAAGGAAGUGACGGCUAACUACGUG
rnacentral:rRNA from 1 species